ACUGUCUAGAAGCUGAUAGAAAAGUGGAAGAAUGGCGAUGCUGUGUUAAUGAAGCCAUGUGUGGGAAGAUGUAGGAGAGGAAGGGUCCCCGAGCCUUCACAAGCUUCUGCUUGCCGAGGGCCUAUUACAUGAGCAUCAUUGGAGGACACAUAAGUACCUGUUACCAUCUCAGAGUUAAGCAACAGGGAAGUGUAAUUAAACGUGCUGUUCUGGUGGGCUUGAAACCUAUUUGCAAUCAAGCAAACCAUUGGGCUUUUCAGCAGGUUUGGCACUCUCCCCUCAGAAGAGGCCCAGCGCUGGGACAGCAGCCACGUCUCGCUACCCUGACUGAGAUGCAUUGAUGGGAACGAGUGGGAGUUUGCACAGAGUCCAGCUGCACCAAGCCUUGCUCUGGCCAGGAUUAAUCUUUCACUUUUAUGAGCACUGAAUUUCACCAACAUUGACCCCCAACUUAAAGAAAACUAACAAAAUCAUCUUACUAAAGCAAAUUCAUAUUUUUUUUUUCUGUGUAAAUGAAGCAAAGUCUUGUUUAAUUAUUUUUGUUAUUUUUGUUGCCUUGGAUAAGGAGAAUGUGGUAUGAGAUGCCAGACCAUUCACAGCCUCCUGGUUGUACCUGAAUUUAACUUGUCAAGAGCAAAAUGGAAAUGAUGGGCGCAGGGUAGAAGCUCCUCUGCUAAUGCUGAGCCAGGGAGCUGGGAGCCACCACUGAUGAGAUGCAGUCCAACUGUUCCUGCACUCCCAUCAGAAUUAAUUAGCCUGGCUGGGAGGCAGGACAGGUCUGUCUGGGCAGACUGCAACGACAGAGCAGCUACAGUGCUUGGUACCUCACUGAAUGAGUGCAGAGCAACACAGAAGUGCUAUCAGAAAGUUGUACUGAAUUCCAGGUAUAGUUUCAAGAGAAACAAAAGUCUGACUGCUUGAAAGCCACUGUCUGUGAAGUCAGCAAAACAGGUUAAACUGUUGCAAAAUAGUACCCUUUCCCAUCUCAUAUAUUUCCCAUCUCAUACUUCCAAAGCUGCAGCAGUUUGGCGGAAUGAGCACAGAAUAGGAAUUAGAAAUUUCAAAGCUAUCUAUUAAACUUACAUGUCCCUUUCAGUUUAGUUAAUGGAGUCAAAAUUCAAGACUGAUGAUCAAAAUCGGGAAUCUCUGGAGAAAUGCAAGAUCAGGUUCUUAAGAUGAGACAAUAGGAUUCGCUUUCCUGAAUGUGAUCGGUGGCCGCCUGAAAGCAUUACUUUGUUUCCCUGGGGCUGUUUUGCAGGACAGAGGCAGGAGCCAAGCGUCGCUUUCAAGACAUUUUAUCACCUGUGUUACUCUGUUCCUUUAAAGUAGCGGCCAAUAAUCUGCAAUGGUAAAACACUUAGGCGCGUGAUAUGAAGCAGAAUAGAUCUUUGUGCAACUUUGAUAUACU
rnacentral:lncRNA from 7 species